UUUGUUUAUAUUGUCACAUGGUAUGACGACAAUUGGUGUCUCUGAGUCGUGAAAAGAGGGUCAAUGGCGGGAUGCUAGGUAGAUAGCCAGGAAAGAAGCCUAGGCGGGUAGGCAGACUAGGAGCAUCAACCGACUGUGGCCAACACUCUGACGUCUGACUAUCGACAAGAGUUGGGUGUAGUGUCCUCUCUUAAAUUUAAUGUCACACUUUUAUUUAAUCUCUCUCUCUCUCUCUCUCUCUCUCUCUCUCUCUCUCUCUCUCUCUCUCUCUCUCUCUCUCUCUCCCUCUCUCUCUCCUCAGGUAUAUUGCUACUACUGCUAAAGAUGGCUGCCUCUUGUUUUGGAAAUGGGACCCAACAACACUCAAAUUUCAUGAUAAACCAGUUAAAUUUAUGGAGAAGAACAGGGUCAGUGAUCAAACUCUCUGUUCAGCUUUUAGUCCUGGGGGUAAAUUCUAUGUUACAGGGGGGACUGAUAAGAUAGUACGUGUGCAUGAGAUGAGUGAUCCUCCAUUACUAGUGAAUGAACUAACUGGUCACGCCCCCUACUUCCCUUGAAAGAGUAAAGGUCACAUUAAUCACAGUGUUACUUCAUUACCUGAUAAUAGCUGGUGAUCUACUGGCUCCUCUAUACAUUGCAGUCAUGAGUUGAUACCUCAUUAAAGAAGUAUCAGACAGAGCCUGUGAUAAUUAUUAAUAAUAAUAUUAUAUUGUCUUUCUUCUGAGUAACAGCAUGUUAUUAGUCUACUACUUUA